AUGGCCUGGACUCCUCUUGUCUUCAUGCUCCUCUCUCACUGCACAGGUAGGGACAGGCUGUGGGAAUCAGGAGCAGCUCCCAUUCUGCUUCUUGCCAAUUGCCCCAAGAAACAUCACUCUGGUCCCAUUACCCCUACGCUUCUCUAUCUGCAGAUUCCAUUUACAGCCUGUGAUGAUCAGCCUCACUCCCUCUCUGCAUCUCCUGGAGCAACUGCCAGACUCACCUGCACCCUGAGCAGUGGCUUCAGUUGGUCACUAUGGGAUACAGUGGUACCCCAGAAGCCAGGGAGCCCUCCCUGCUAUUUCCUGAGCUAUGACUCAGACUCAGUUAAACACCAGGGCUCUGGAGUUCCCAGCAACUUCUCCGGAUGCAAAGAUGCCUCAGUCAGGGCAGGAUGA